UCCUACGGGGCGCAGCAGUAGGGAAUUUUCGUCAAUGGGCGCAAGCCUGAACGAGCAAUGCCGCGUGAACGAGGAAGGUCUUCGGAUCGUAAAGUUCUGUUGAAGGGGAAAAAGAGCGGAGAGAGGAAAUGAACUCCGAUUGAUAUUACCCUUCGAGGAAGUCACGGCUAACUACGUGCCAGCAGCCGCGGUAAUACGUAGGUGGCGAGCGUUAUCCGGAAUGAUUGGGCGUAAAGGGUGCGUAGACGGAGGAGCAAGCAUGAUGUGAAAAUCCGGGGCCCAACCCCGGAACUGCAUUGGAAACU
rnacentral:rRNA from 1 species